rnacentral:rRNA from 1 species
GGAUAUUGCACAAUGGGGGAAACCCUGAUGCAGCGACGCCGCGUGAGGGAAGAAGGUCUUCGGAUUGUAAACCUUUGUCUUCAGGGACGAAAAUGACGGUACCUGAGGAGGAAGCCACGGCUAACUACGUGCCAGCAGCCGCGGUAAUACGUAGGUGGCAAGCGUUAUCCGGAAUUACUGGGUGUAAAGGGAGCGUAGGCGGGGCGAUAAGUCAGAUGUGAAAUACCGGGGCUCAACUCCGGGGCGGCAUUUGAAACUAUUGUUCUUGAGUGAAGUAGAGGCAAGCGGAAUUCCUAGUGUAGCGGUGAAAUGCGUAGAUAUUAGGAGGAACACCAGUGGCGAAGGCGGCUUGCUGGGCUUUUACUGACGCUGAGGCUCGAAAGCAUGGGUAGCAAACAG